rnacentral:tRNA from 1 species
AGCAGGGUAGGGAAGCCUGGUCAUCCCAUGUGGUUCAUACCCACAAGAUCGCUGGUUCGAAUCCAGCCCCUGCAACCA